AUGGAGUCGAAGAAGGAUUGGCCGGUGCUGCCGGCUGGCGUCAAGUUCGAUCCCACGGAUCAGGAGCUGAUCGAGCACCUUGAGGCCAAAGUGAGUGCUGACAGCGCGAGAUUUCAGUCUCUCAUCGAUUUGUUCAUACCAACCAUCGGCAGCGAGCACGGCAUAUGCUACACCCAACCUGAGAAACUUCCAGGUAUCACACUAAGUGGCCUAAGGAAGCAUUUCUUCCAGCGCAAUUCCAGGGCGUUCAAAAGGGGCACGUGGAUGCGUCGUAAGAUACAGUCGGAGUGCGGCAUGCACACGAUGUGGCACAAGACCGGCAAUACCUUGCCGGUGAUGGUCAACGGCCGGCAGAUGGGCAACAAAAAAGGUUCUGGUGCUGCACACCAACAAGAACUUUGA
rnacentral:rRNA from 1 species